rnacentral:lncRNA from 1 species
CACAAAUGAACUCGGUCAUUUACAAAGAAAUAAUGUGCAUAAUUAUCAUACAGAUACGAAUCCAGAAAUUAGUGUUUCACUACGGAACCUAUGCUCAGACUCAAAUACAAAAGCUGCACUGCCAUGGUUUGAAAUCUCUCAUUCAGAAUAAGCACAAACAAGCCUUUGAGAGUUAACGCCCUAAUUUGCAGUUCUGUUUUGAAAAACAGCAGAAGCAACUGGACCAUGGCAUAAAUUAUCAAGGGAAGUGGUCAUGGCAACAUCACUUCAGAGAGUGAAGCCUGUGACAUUAGCAAGGAUGGCUUAAUGAACUGCUGUGCCAAAUUUAGGUCAGGUUGCUUUGUAGCGAUACUUGAAUUCUCUAACCCUGAAAUUGAAGACUUCAGUUUCUAUCACACCUGUCUGCACCCUCCCUUUUCCAAAGCCACUUUCCUUGAUUUUCAGGCUCUUUUUCCAGCCAGAGGUGGGCCCCUGUGAUGGAGUGGUUGUGGCUGCGGCUGUGCUAUGCUGUGUCCCUCCCCCAGGCUCCCUGACUGGUACUGCAGCCUUCAGUGCCCCAGGAAGACCUUGUUUUGCCCGCUGAGAAAGCAUGUACAGCCCUCAGGUACACAGUGGCCUCACAGCCUGUGUGGUCAAACAGCUGAAGCAGGUGAAACAAUACAGCUAUUCGCAUCAAAAAGAAAAAAAAUAAUAAAAGAAAAGUGAUGUGACAAUCCAAACUGGCUUGAACAUUACCCCACUCUCUUUGGAAGUGCAGUUUGACCAUCCCGCAGGACAGGUGUCCUUCUUGGGAAGGAGUGCAAAACACCAGGUUUACUGGGGAGAGACAGAUAAAAUGUAAGGACGAUUUCUAUUGAUGUUAGUAGGUAAAAAUGGUGACAGUCUAAUUUGUGUUGUACAGAAGAUUUAUACAAAACAUGUAAAAAAAGUGAGAAACACACAUUCAGCAGAUAUGUUAAUCUCAAAAUAGUAAAUCCUGGUUUCUCACAUCAUUGCUAGCGAAGAGAAAUUGAUUCAAAACCUGAUCUCUUGUUCAAAGGAAUUUCAAUAUUUUCCAUUAGCAGUGUGAAAUAACCAACAAGCUAAGCUCCUCAUACUUGCUUCUUGCUUCAGCACUGAAAGCGGUGUGAAAGACCCUAUUUUUGAAUUAGAAUCCAGGCUCAUUAUCAUAACAGUAGGGUGAGGGGUUGCUAGCAGGUCUGUUAAUAAGCACAAUUAUGCAGAGCAUUGCCUACCGAAAGCCUUCUACCUUUUGCAGCCCUGGUAGCCCAGGCACACUAACAGACAACUGAAGCAUAAUGACAACUGUAAAUUUUUUAUAGGUGUGCAGAAAGGAAGGUAAAAUCUAGGAAAUAAAUUCUUGAAGAAGUCUUAAGUAUAUGCCGUG